AAUGAUUUGCAUUUGGAUGAAGGAUUCCCACCACAUGUAUGAAUUUGCACCUGGAUGCAAAUCCAGGAAGAGUGGGCUUAGGGGUGGGCGCUGGGGAGAAGGAGUUGGAGUCUUUGGGGUGAAGGAAGGAGGUGUUACACUAUGUGAAGACUGCAACUUUGUGCCCAAAACAGGAGUGAGAGUGAAGCAUUCAUUUUUGCCCUUCUGGAAGGUCUGCAUAGGUGACUGAUUUGGGCUUUGAAUCCCUGUGAACCCUCUGGGUUACAUUAAGGGGUCCUGGAAUCUACAUAUCAAGUAUUAUCAAGGACAGAAUAACGUAUUGCAAUAUGUGUACUGCUCUUUUUCAUGCCAUUCUGGGUGGAAGAAGAGAAGGGAAUUGGGCCUGUUAACCUUCGCAUGUAACCAAGGAGCCGUUUAUGACUGGCCAGGUCUGAAUUCAUAUCACGACCUCAUGGUAAUCAUGUGCUUACAGAGGGACUUCCAUGGAUGUUGGGGCCUCAAAAUAUUGUGGGAAAGCACUUAGGAACAGGUGCAAAUCCAAAAUGUUCUCUGUUAUACAGAAUUCAUAUUUGGGCUCAAACACAUUUUCUGCAGGAGCUGGAAGGCUGAUGUCUCCUGGGCCAUAGCCCAGCCAUUUGUCACACCUGAUGCCAUUUUUGGAAGUAGACCUUUCGCUCUGAAAAUGAACAAGCCCAAAGUGGCUGGGCCAGGAGACCCACACUGCAGAAGGAGACAGGGCAAGGAGAGCAGCAUGCUCUUCCCUUUCUUUGAACUUACAGAACUUAUUGCCUGGAACUCUGGGUCUGUAAUAACUGUUUCUGACUUUACUCUGUAUUCUCUUUUACAGGGGAUUGUAUUUGAACCUUGGGUACCACGGUGAUAACGUUAUUCUCUUUUUGUGCUUUUGUGGCUGGGCCGGGAUGGGUGGAAGUUAGAGGGCUUCUGCACCACCUCUCCUCAGCUGCUUCACUUCCCUCUCCCUGGGGUAGUGAUCUUGCUUUCCAUAACACUCUGGCGGCAGAGAAUCUGUGGGACCCAUUCCAUGGGCAAGCCAAGGCCAACAGCAAAAGCAAAGGGGAGAUGUCUCCCUGGCUCGUGGCCCACUGACAGGGCCGAUAUGACAUUCCAACUCCUUGGCCUUUGUGGACUGAGUCCUCUGGGGACUUUAGGCAAAGCCUCUUCCCCCAAAGCUUAAUCUCAUUAACAGAGGAGCGCUUAGCUCUGAAAAAGACAGUAUGUCUCAGCAGGUGUACAGAUUGACGUUAGGUUCUGCAAGUAAAAACAUAGUCAAGAAUAAAGCUAUGUUACCUGUAAGGGUAAGAGGCUUGAUUGUACAUUUUGGAUACAGCGACCCUUAAUACAGUACAUGGUUUUAAUCUGGUUUCUCUAAAAUCUUUAAAAUCAUGCUGAAACUAUGCCUAUCGAUAAUAACCCUGUUGAAUUGUAAUGCUAUGAUUACAGAAUUUAUACAGAAAUAGCACUAGCCCUUUAAAUAUCCAUGCACCAUAAGAGGCAGGAACAACAGGAUAAAUCUCCAUUCUCUAGAAUCCCACGUUGGUUGUAUAUGGUGUUUUUGUGUGUUUGUUUGUUUGUUGUUAAUAAUCUCUUUAAAAUGCCUUUUUUCAAUAUCAGUCCAAAUAAUGUCAACCUACCGUGAUGAACAAUUGAAAAGGAGAAAGAAGAAGGAGGAGAAACAAGAGGAAAAUAACCAUAGCUAAAGGCCAGGGGAGGCGUGCCUGUGUGAGGAUCCAUGCUAUUAAGUGGUUUAAAUGCGCCACUUCGUGUAGUGUACAUAACUAUCUAAGAAGGACACAUUAUCAGCCCUGUGUGACACAAGAGGAAGAUGAGUCCCAGAGAAGGGGAUCAACUUGUCCAAGGUCACACAGAUAAUUAGUGGUAUAGGCAGGACUCAAACAUAGGCCAACUGACCCAAGAGCUUUAGGCUUAACCAUUGGGAUUUUUAUUUUUAAGCAUUUUGGAUUUGGGGAUUGAAAUAAAUGAACACAUGAAACAAACUGGCAUAAUUAAAUAUAUUAGAACAUAUAAACCAAUUUUCUUUUCUUUUUGCUUUUUGUUUUUUUGUUUUGUUUUAGAGACAAGGUCUUGCUCUGUCAUCCAGGAUGAAGUGCAGUAGGUGCCAUCAUGGCUCAUUGCAGCCUGCAGCUUCUAACUGCUGGAUCAAGAGAUACAGCUUCAGCCUCCCAAGUAGCUGUGACUACAGACACACGCCACCAUACAUUGCUAAUUAAAAAAAAAUUUUAAUAUCUUUGUAUAUUUUUCUGUUCACUUUUUUUUUUUUUUGAGACUGAGUCUCACUCUGUUGCCCAGGCUGCAGUGCAGUGGCGGAAUCUCAGCUCAUUGCCACCUCGGCCCCCCGGGUUUAAGUGAUUCUCCUGCCUCAGCCUCCCAGGUAGCUGGGACUACAGGCGUACACCACCAUGCCUGGCUAAUUUUUGUAUUUUUAGUAGAGACGGGGUCUCACCAUGUUGGCCAGGCUACUCUUGAACUCCUGACCUCGGGUGAUCCACUUGCCUUGGCCUCCCAAAGUGCUGGGAUUACAGGCGUGAACCACUGCACCCAGCCUACUUUGGAUAUCUUUCUAUACAGUCUCACUAGGUUGCCCAGGCUGGUCUUGAAUCCCUGGCCUCAAGUGAUCCUCCUGCCUUGGCCACUCAAAAGUGCUAGAAUUACAGGCAUGAACCACUGCUCCUGGCCCAGCUGUUUUAAAAAGCAACAAUCUUGAAUUGUAAUGUUUGCCAAUUUUUGUGGUGCAAAUACUCCCUCUAUGGUUGAUUUCAAGCUGCCAAUGGUUUAGUACCCAGGUUGCAAAAUUCCUGAAUAUUUAAAAAUUGUCUCUCUCACCACCUGGCUCCAGCACACCCCUGUCUGUUAAUAUGUAAUGGAGAGAGUCUGAUGUAGGUUUAGGACACAGAGCCUUGGGCUCUUCUGCCUCUUAUAUGAUGCUGUAGCAUGACUCAACUAUUUUGAGCUUCAGUUUCCUUCCUCAACUGCAAAACAAGAAAGUUGAAAGAAUCAAUUGCUUUUACUUAAUUUUUUUUUCAAGGCACCUGAGGAAGGGUUUAUUCCAUGUGAAUUAAUCAGGGAAAGCCAACAUAGUAUUUUUUUUUUUUUUUUUGCUUCUUUUUGAGAUGGAGACGCUCUCUGUUGCCCAGGCUGCAGUGCAGUGGCACGAACUCGGCUCACUGCAACCUCCACCUCCUGGGUUCAAGUGAUUCUCCAGCCUCUGCCUCCCAAGUAGCUGGGAUUAUAGGCGUGAGCCACCAUGCCUGGUUAAUUUUCAUAUUUUUAGUAGUGACAGCGUUUCACCAUGUUGGCCAGGCUGGUCAUGAACUCCUGAUCUCAAAUGAUCCACCCACCUUGGCCUCCCAAAGUGCUGGGAUUACAGGUGUGAGCCACCAUGCUGGGCCCAUAGUAUUUCUUUUUAAAUGUGAAGUUGGGGAAUCUGCUAGUAACUAAAAAGGUUACUUUUAAGAAGAAACAUUCAAUCUUAAGUUUAAUGAAAUUCAUUACAUACAGUUAUCUAUUCCCCUUCCCACCCCCUAAUCUUGUCUAGGCUUUUCUUUAACUUGCUUCCUUAUUGGGUAAUAGUUGGAACAGAGACAAUCAAAGUCACUUCGUGAUUUCACUUUGGAAGUAUUUUGAUUUUCUAAGGCAAAGGUGAGGGUAUUUAAUAUAAUUAGUUUCCUGUGUAAUCCUAUUUAUUGUAUUGCAUAUGCAUAUAAAAGUAUUAUUGAAAAGUAAUCCACAGACUUCUCAAGAGUGCUAGAGAGUGUAUGGCGCAAAAAAAAAAAAAAAAUCUUUAGGAAGAGAAUGUUUUCCUUCCUCGGUGCUGAAGAGGGGAGAUUUCUAGCAAAGGAAUUAAGAGCCACUCUCCUCAUUGGACUCUCUCAAAGUGCAAAAGGAAAAGAAAAUGUAUACCUUUUUCUUCUGAAUAAAUAUCUAAAAUUAACGGAAAUUUAUUAGGGAUAUAGAGUUUUGAUUGACUUUCUUUCACAAAGCAUGUUAUCCAUUUUUCCACCUCCCUCCUUUUUUUAAAAAAUUAUUUGCUAUAUAGUUUUUAGGUCAAUGUUUAUAGUUGAAAAAUAACAUUCUCUCCCUUAUGGGGAAGCAUGUGAUUUCAAGAUAAUCUACAAUGAAAGAAAAACUUUUAUGUUCUCAUGUUGGAGAGUUGGAUGUCUCUAAACUUUCUUGUCUAACAGGAAGAUGACUUUAGUAGAGACGGGUUUUCUCCAUGUUGGUCAGGCUGGUUUCCAACUCCUGACCUCAGGUGAUCUGCCUGCCUCGGCCUCCCAAAGUGCCGGGAUUAUAGGCAUGAGCCACUGCGUCCGCAGGAAGGUGACUUUACAUUGCCUCACUCCUGUAAUGAAUACUGUGGAGACCUGCCACUUGCCAGGUCGGCUGAAGGCACUGGGACCAGUGAGAUAAAUGUCAUACCCCAUCUUCAAAGAACUCCCAAAUUCACAGAGGAGGACAUGAGGUGAACAAAACAUUAUGACACAGGCGGGCAGUGAGUGCUGUAAGACAAGAAGAAGCUGUGGGAGAGUGUACCUACUACAUGUGGCUAGACUGUCCCCACAUAUGGGUCAAUCACAGCUAUAUAGGUUUUCUCUAUUAAAAUUAUUUUCUUUUUAUUGAUUAGUACAGAAUUUUAUUUUAUUUUAUUUUAUUUUUUUUGAGAUGGAGUUUUACUCUUGUCGCCCAGGCUGAAGCGCAAUGGCAUGAUCUUGGCUCAUGGCAACAUUUACCUCCCUGGAUCAAGUGAUUCUCCUGCCUCAGCCUCCCAAGUAGCUGGGAUUACAGAAGCCCACCACCACGCCUGGCUAAUUUUUGUAUUUUUAGUAGAGAAGGGGUUUCGCCAUGUUAACCAGGCUGGUCUUGAACUCCUGACCUCAGGUGAUCCACCUGUCUCGGCCUCCCAAAGUGCUGGGAUUACAGGCGUGAGCCACUGUGCCAGAUCAUUGAUUAGUAAAGAAUUUUAACAGUAAAGAAUAGAUAAAUUUAAGGGCUCAUUUUCAUUUCUUCAUCCUCAUGCUAUAACAUACAAGUGUAUUUGAAUUUCCAAGCACAAAUUCACAGGUGCAAAAAAAUAACACAUGACAUUAUUUCAUCAGUGGUUCUUAAUCUUGGGUAUAUGGUAGAAUAUGGCACCUGGGAGAGUUUUCAAAAAAUACCAAAGCUUGAGCUACUUCUUGGUGAGCAAGGACCUUAGAAAACUCUCGAGCAAAAAUGGGAUGCCCUCGAGGAGGGUGAGAUGCUGUCAGAGUCUCUCCUGCCCCAAGGACCCAGACUGAUCACCAACGUUCAUGGCACAAAUUGGCUGUAGGGGCUUCCCAGCUGAAUACUCCCUAUGAGCAUUGGGAGAUGGGCACCGAGCCUGCCAUAUGAUGAAGCAGAAGUGGCCUCCCUAGAAAAGCUCCUCACCCCUCAGAAAUGAUUUCCUACCUUGAGAAUUGAUACUUGAAAUUUCACAGUUAGAUGGCCACACCUUUUCCAGAAGCUUUAUUUUCUUCAAAAAUAGAAGUGCCUCUAAGGAGUUACAGUAAAACUUACUGGUGAUUUGUAUCAUUUGGGCUCAUCUCCUCAUAGCAAGUUUUGAAAGGGGUUAGCAAGGUAAGUUUAUGAGACUAUUGGAUUCUGCUAUUGAGUGUAGGAAAAGGUGCAAGAAGAGAAGACUGUAUUUGGCACUUCUGAGCAUGGGUCUGCGGCUCACCCUAAAAGUGGAGUUGGUCCCUUAUUUGAAUAUCACUUAAUACUCUUUGUAAUGCUGUCAUUAUAGGGAUGAUGCUCUUUCUUCUAGUUUUAACCUCUCUGCUGUCUAGAAACAUUUUCAUGUCAAAGUUCACAUUGUUCAUUCAUAUCAAAAGAACCAAAUGAGAUACAAACAGAAAAAUACAAUCCAUAGGGCAGAAGUGGGAAAAAUCACGGAAAUCCCUUACAAAGUGAGUAGCACAGGUCAGGGUGGCGUUCCUCGUAUGCUUUCAUACAAGAUGGUGUAUAUCAUUCUCGCUUAGAAACAUAAGCACCUGUCCUCAGAGAGGCUGGUCACGGAUGGUUCUGUAGAGCACUUAGCACAUUCUGAGUGCUCCGUAAAUGUUGAGGCUAUGAGGUAAUCUUCUGAGGGUGUCUCCUCAGAGGAAGGUGCUAUGCAAAUACUGGUAUUGUUAUUCUUUUUAGCACAAAUUUAUAAUUGACUUUCUGUUAAACAUCGCAGCAAGUUAAAUUAAUUCAGUAUGAUUACAGUCAUUAAACAAAUGCCUGGUAAUGACUGCCUUCUUAUUUUAGCAAUUCCUCAAACCACUGGGGUAAUACCAUAUAAGGCUUUUGCUCCAUUGUCAGAUUAAUUGGGUUGUACAACCUGCGUUUCACGAUAGAGCAUGCACACUGCCUUACAGCAACUGGACCAUGAUUUAAGGCUAGUGCUGAACUAAUUUACCUUCGAGUUUUCCCUCUUGCUCUUGCCAUUCUGUUAGGUACAAUUGACUAGUUCAUUACAGCAUACAAGUAGCUUAAGGCCAUUUCUACCUGUUAAAAAAGAAGUGUGUUUUUCAAACAAAAUGUGGGCAGGAAUUCUCCCGCAAUCAUUCUCACAACGCUGAAACCAGCCAAAGCGAGAGGGGCAGCGAUGGCUUUAACUUAUGUUCACAUUGGGGUGGUCACCCUAAGAAUUACCUGCCAUCUUAGCAAGCAGGACAGAAAUAGUUAAGUCCUAAAGGCUAUGAAUUAAAAACUCUGCUUGAGAGAAAAGCAAUGUAAGAUGUCCCUGCCAGGUGUGGAUGGAGAAAAACUGCACUCCUUAAGCCUCUCUUUCCAUUGAAGGUCAUCUGUCUGGUGCCACCUUAGAAACUGGUCUGAUUCUGCAGAGGACAUUGAAUGAUAACACCCCGCAAGUCAGCUGACUGCUGUGUCAGAGCUGCUGCUUUCUGCAUUAUCGCAACUGCCAGCUCCAGCUCCUGCAGUUUCCCAGUCGCAAUGCAGCAAAGCAGAAGCAGACAACUAGGCACAAAGCAACAGAGUUUUAAAGUUUUCUUCUCCUGCUACUACUUAGCAUGUCUUACAUGAGGAGUAUUUACCUUUGUUUAGCCAGGAGCAGAGAUGCAUCCUGAAUGUACACGAUGGCUUCUAACUUGGCAGCGUGAAUUUUCAGCUGAGCAGGUACUGCUCGGAGACUUGUAACCAAACCGCCUCUGAUGGAGCACGGCUGGUCUCCCACCAUGUGUGUGAAUAGUUUGGGGGCUUCUUAUGCCACGCUGCUCUACCUGCAGGAAUAAAGGCUAGGACAAAGGAGAGGAUGCUUGCUAUGGUUUGUCUGGCUGGGGCCUGUGCGAGCGACUCACCGCACUGAUGCUGUGUGACUCCCCAGCUCACAUUUAAGGCUGGUCACGGGGCUGGCGCAGAUCCCCACUCCUCAGUUAGCGCACGGUUUAAAGGAGAAACCAGACUCCCUGACCUAAAUCACUCCCAGUCCUCUCUGGAUGCGGGACAGCUGUCGACUAGCAGUGACACAACCAGCCAUCAAGUGGAGAAUCGUUGCGACUGCAGUCUGUGUGCAGGUGGAGCCCGGGAGAAUGACAGUCUAAUUUCGGUCAUCCAACGGCUUUUCCUUAUUUUCCUAAAUAAUCGUGCUCGCUAAGUAUACAGUUGUCUGGAUUAGCCUGCCUGCCAUGCAGUCCUCAUCAACUCUGGCUGGAAAUCAGGGUGCCAGGCAAGCCGCCUUUAGCCCUGGCUCCUUUCUGCGUGAUGCUAUGCAGCUAGGAUGGGUCAUGCUGACAACAAAGAAGGAAGCAGAAAGCAUCACUUUCUCUUCUCUUGUGAUGUUAGCGGAACAUAACUCUUCUUCGCAGUGAUGCCCUUGUGUGUGGUGUAUGUGUGUGUGUGUGUGUGUGUGUUUUAAUUCAUCUAAUCGAAGAGCCCAACAAAUAUCAUCAUGGAUGUGAUUUUUAAUAAUUUGGAAAAAACAAAAAAAGACAGCCUGUGGAGACAGCGAUUCGAAACAGCGGCACAUUUAGGUUAUUGCCAAUUUGAAAUACUUGGUUUGUGAAGCUGAGCCCUAAGGGACAAGCUCGGUAACUGAGGAAGAGAUCGUAGAUAAAGAAAUAAAAAUGACAAGCGUAAUGGAGGCUCUGCGAAGGGACUGUCAGAGCAUCAGUUCAUGGAUGGCAAUUUCACCAGGCUGAGAUUGAAUAAUUCAUAGAUUGAAAUUACCCUGCUUUCACCUUUCCAUUUAAGCCGGCAUGAUCUGAAUCUCUCAUAAAUUUUCAAGAUAAAGUAAAAUGCCAAUUUGAAUCUGAAGAGCUUUUAAAACCAGAUGCUGCAUCCCUGAAUCUUUCGGUAUCUUUCACAAUUAUCCUAUGAGAACAGCACUUCAUCACGAAGCACCAUUACCAGGGAAAAUUACGGUGAUUACAAUAGCAACAAUAGAAUACCAUCAAAUGAUCUCUAAUUUACCUAAUUUGCUAAGACUGACUGUACGGUUUUGAUAUCCAUUGUAUGUCACCAUGCCCGGCACCCGUGAAGCUAUCUCGCACUGGAACAAAAGUGGCAUCGUGUGUGUGUGUGUGUAUGUGUGUAUGUGCACGCACACCCUGCUACCUUAACUGUGAAUGCCUAGCAAAGAACAUUCUCCUAGGUUACAAUAUUUCUUUCCUUUGGUUCACAUUUUCGCUUUUUUCCAAUGCCUCUACCCCAAAUGUGUUUGGGGAAAUGGAGAGCCUGUCAUGGGUUGGGAGACUGUUUUUUGAUACAGAAGAGCAUUGACUUGUUAAUUUAUAUACCCUCUUUAUUUUAAUGUAUACAAGCCUGUGUUUACUAAAAGGGAGGGAGGAUGCUGUUCUGGGAGAGUAAUUUUAAAAUGCAGCCGAGAUGUAGCAUAUGUGUUUGUUUCUUCUUUGAAACCCCUGUCUGUCUCUUUCAGGUUAGAAAUCCUUUCAGGGAAGUUUAGUCCUGGUGUGAUGUGUCAAAAACCUCUCAGAUUGCAAAGAAGCUCAGGAGAUACAAUCAGUAAUAACUCUGUACAGCUUUUAUUAAAAGCAUGCAUGUUCAAUUCAGUGAUUAAAUGAAGCUUCGGUACAACUUCGGCUAUGUUUGUGUCUGGUCACUCUGGAGUAGAAGUCUGUACUAAAGAGAACUUUUUGGGACAGGCUGCACGGUUCAUCUCAGGGUAAUUGUGCCAUCCUGAGAAGGUGGCAUGGAUCAUCAAUCCUCCCUGGAGAACAGACUGUAAUCAUUAAUAGGCACAAUGGCUUCUGGAAUUUUACUUUCAAUAGUGUGAAGGUAGUAUGUGGGUUUCUGCUAGUCAAGUGAUUUAAGUGUGAUUAUCGAAGGUAGGGCUUCAGAGGUAUGACCACCAUCUGGGAGGAAGCUUUACCCCUUCCCUUAUCCUGUGACCCAACAAAUACCUUUGUCAGAGCAGAACUGGAAAUAUCGACAAACAGCACUGAAGGCUCCUGGUCUACCACAGGAGGUGAUCUCUAGUGAAGAAGGUUGAGAUUUGCAUGCAGAAUUUCCAGAAUGCUGAAUAUCAGCACGGAUCACUGCAAAGAAGUUGGAACUCAUCUCACAUGAACUUCUCAGGUUCUCUUACAAGACCACCAACAUUCUUCAAACAUCAGUGAAAUAAAACAGGAGGAGGGUUUCGAGCUCUGGAUCCUCAGCCUGGAAAUGUCACAAUUUAAUCCCAAAGGUUUGCUGUGAAGUUGUAAGCAUGACAGUGUGAAACUCGACAGAUUAUUCUUGAAUUCUUUGUUUGUUUUCGUUGUGACCCGACUCUCAUAAAAUUUAUGUUUUCUUCCAAACCCCCAGGGUGUGUGGUCAUAUGACUUAAAUAGAGAAAAACAUUGUCAAAACAGUAUUGAGGAGUUAUCACUUUUACAUUGUUUUAAUUAAAGAAAAAGCCUUUCUAUCCAGGUCUAAUACCAUCAUUUUUAUGGGCAUGUUAAAGUAUCUAAUCUAAUACUGUAGUUAGUAGUAGUAUUUAGUAUUUUUAGUAUUAUUAUAGUUUUAUCUGUAUCUUAAAGAAAAAGUCAAUAAAUAUGAAAACAGAGUUUGUUUUGGGAAU
rnacentral:lncRNA from 1 species